GGCGGGGCCUGCCGGGCCACAGGGUCAUUUCCACGCCUGCGUGGACGCGGAGGAUGCAGGACAGUCGCUGCGAAUUUUUAGGACUUUCCAAUUCCAGUUUAGACCUGAAUGUGACUGGUUUGUGUUGCUGUUUGGCAUUCGUAAUUCAAGGAAAUCCCUUCUUCUGGUUGAAAGCACGGUGUGAUUUCCUGGCCCUCCUGCAUCAGCAUCACCUGGAUAAUACAACCGGCAUAUUACCGGAUCCUGCUACAGAUCUGGUGCUGGAAGUGACACCUCAAAUGUCAGCUGAGCUAACCCAAGCUGCUUACCUUCAAGAUCGUUACCAGAGCCAAAACAGUGCUUAGGCUUUACCCGCUCAGACUUCGAUGCCAGAAGAUAAAGUGAAAAAUAAAUGUGUGUCUAAAAAGGAGAGAUCUCGGGGAAUGAUUUGGGUCAACAAGGAAUGUGGAAUUCCAUUUCUCCACAAAUUUUAUUGAUCCUAACAUCUCAUUUACAGACUUUUUGCCCUCCUCAUUUAGACUUCUCCAGCAAACAUAGUCCAUGGUAAAUAAUGAUUCUCUGUAGGCCUGUAACAGCAGUAAAUUCUAUUUUCAUAAUUAAAACAACAAAUAAAACGAAAAUGCUAGAACACUGUUUAGUUUCUUCUUCUUCGCUAAGGCUCUCCUUCUAAUGAAUCCGUGAACACCAAACCAGGAUGGGUUAAAUUCGGGCAGAAUAUUCAUACUAAUCAAUCCUUCUCAGGCAGAUCACUUUUCAUACCUCAUAAUUCUAUGGCUGAUUCACUUUUCAGUUACUGUUUGCAUUCAUUUCUUCUCUGCGUUCCUAUCUCUCCCCAGUUGAA